CCAUGAGUUUGAACACGCAAUGAACGCCGUGAGAAGCUAAAACCCCACCUCGAAGUUCAGACGUUGCUGGUUCCAAACAUGAGUUCGGCUCCGUACUCACACGGAGAUAAAAGAUCAUCAGGACCCGACGGCGUACAUGAAGGGCAACGUGUCAAGAGCGAGACCGGUUCCAUUCCAAAAUGACGACAAGGAGGACAAAACGUGAGUAGUUUGGGGACGAGCCUGAGGGCCACCGAGAGGACAACACGAAUGCCACAUCUUCAAAGUGUGCUUUAUGUAAUAAGGAUACAGGAAACUGUCAUUCAUCCUCUACUUUUUUUUUUUUUUCUUUUUACCCUGUUGUGAUUGAUGCCCUUUAGUGUCGAACGUGUUCAAUUUGUGUGCUUACUUUCUCAGUUUGUGAUUGGUGUAUAAUCUCUUCUGUCUUGUAGAGCUGGGAUAAUGCAUGUGUGAUCUGCUGAAAAGAUGACGAACUGUUCGUCCUUAUUCCAGCAACAGAGCAUAUAAACACAGACCUACACCCAAUUUAACUGGUAACACCUAAACAACGAGUUCAUUUUAUGAAUUUAAAGGAUUUGCUGUGACAUGUUUUGUUCUUGUUGUUGUUUUUUUUUUUUUGCAUUUAAAAAAACUUCCUAUAUUUACAGCAUUAAUUCCAAGUGAUUGUAAUUCUAUAAUCGUCCACUAGAGGCCACUAGACAGAUAGCGAAAACUGACUUGGGGGGGACAUUUCAUAUGAAAAAAGAAGAGAGACAGAAAGAUGGAAACAGAUGCGGUCAUUAUGAUGGCGGUGUGUAUUCACCACAGCACAACAAUGGCAGAGAUGUUUUUCAGACAAAGACAGAGAACGAUGGAUUCUUUGAAUCGUAUCUUCUUAUACCUAUUUUAUGUACUGAGUUUUUUUCUUCUUCUUCUUUUGUUCUGUUCUCUCUGAAUAUGGCCUAUUCAGCGAGGCUGAUGCACUCUGUAAAUAAAUGAAUGAAUAAAACCGGUUUUCUGGGUUA
ensembl:lncRNA